rnacentral:rRNA from 1 species
GAUAAACGCUGGCGGCGCACAUAAGACAUGCAAGUCGAACGAACUUAAUACCUUGCUUGCAAGGUAAGCGGUUAGUGGCGGACUGGUGAGUAACACGUAAGAAAUCUGCCUAUCAGAGGGGAAUAACAGUGAGAAAUCAUUGCUAAUACCGCAUAUGCCAUAGGAAUCGCAUGAUUCUAGUGGGAAAGGAGUAAUCCGCUGAUAGAUGAGCUUGCGUCUGAUUAGCUAGUUGGUGGGGUAAAGGCCUACCAAGGCGACGAUCAGUAGCCGGACUGAGAGGUGGAACGGCCACAUUGGGACUGAGAUACGGCCCAGACUCCUACGGGAGGCAGCAGUCGGGAAUAUUGCGCAAUGGAGGAAACUCUGACGCAGUGACGCCGCGUAUAGGAAGAAGGUUUUCGGAUUGUAAACUAUUGUCCAUAGGGAAGAUAAAAGACUGUACCUAUGAAGAAAGCUCCGGCUAACUACGUGCCAGCAGCCGCAGUAA